rnacentral:SRP_RNA from 1 species
CCGUGCUAGGCGGGGAGGUAGCGGUGCCCUGUCGCUCGCAAUCCGCUCUAGCGAGGCCGAAUCCCCGGUUGAGGGGUGUGGCCAUCGGGUCGGCGCGCCGAAGUCUGGUGUUGACGGCUCGGGUCCCGCGCGACGUCGGCUCGUGAACCAGGUCAGGUCCGGAAGGAAGCAGCCUUAAGCGACAACCGGCGGGCGUAGCGGGAGCUCCCGAGCCCGAGUCAGAUGACGGUGCCGCCUCCGGUGACUGCUCCACGAUUCCGGGUGCACGG